AAUAACUAAUCUAAUUCUUAUGAUAAAGGAAAAAAGGCAAAAAACCAGUUAUUA
rnacentral:tRNA from 1 species